UACAGAGGGGGCAAGCGUUGUUCGGAAUUACUGGGCGUAAAGGGCGCGUAGGCGGCCACCUCAGUCAGACGUGAAAUCCCUCGGCUCAACCGGGGAACUGCGUCUGAUACUGGGUGGCUUGAAUCCGGGAGAGGGAUGCGGAAUUCCAGGUGUAGCGGUGAAAUGCGUAGAUAUCUGGAGGAACACCGGUGGCGAAGGCGGCAUCCUGGACCGGUAUUGACGCUGAGGCGCGAAAGCCAGGGGAGCAAACGGG
rnacentral:rRNA from 1 species